GCGGAGAUGAGGUGCUUGCACCUUAUCUUAGCGGCGGACGGGUGAGUAAUGCUUAGGAAUCUGCCUAUUAGUGGGGGACAACAUUCCGAAAGGAAUGCUAAUACCGCAUACGUCCUACGGGAGAAAGCAGGGGAUCUUCGGACCUUGCGCUAAUAGAUGAGCCUAAGUCGGAUUAGCUAGUUGGUGGGGUAAAGCCCUACCAAGGCGACGAUCUGUAGCGGGUCUGAGAGGAUGAUCCGCCACACUGGGACUGAGACACGGCCCAGACUCCUACGGGAGGCAGCAGUGGGGAAUAUUGGACAAUGGGGGGAACCCUGAUCCAGCCAUGCCGCGUGUGUGAAGAAGGCCUUAUGGUUGUAAAGCACUUUAAGCGAGGAGGAGGCUACUGAGACUAAUACUCUUGGAUAGUGGACGUUACUCGCAGAAUAAGCACCGGCUAACUCUGUGCCAGCAGCCGCGGUAAUACAGAGGGUGCGAGCGUUAAUCGGAUUUACUGGGCGUAAAGCGUGCGUAGGCGGCUUUUUAAGUCGGAUGUGAAAUCCCCGAGCUUAACUUGGGAAUUGCAUUCGAUACUGGGAAGCUAGAGUAUGGGAGAGGAUGGUAGAAUUCCAGGUGUAGCGGUGAAAUGCGUAGAGAUCUGGAGGAAUACCGAUGGCGAAGGCAGCCAUCUGGCCUAAUACUGACGCUGAGGUACGAAAGCAUGGGGAGCAAACAGGA
rnacentral:rRNA from 1 species